GCCAAACUGGAUCGGCACUACAGAACUUAUGAAGAUGUUUGCAUACUGAAGAAGAGUGCUUGGACAAAUACUGAAACCCUCUUGGUGCCCACUACACAGGCAGGGGUGUCCAGACCUGCUCUAGGAAAGCCAGUGUUCUGUGGAGUUUAGCUCUAACUCACCUGCCUGGAACUUCUAACUAAUGAAAUUGAAGUAUCCGAAUGAAGACCCUAGC